CGAUUGCCAAGAGGUGAAUGUAAGGUAAGGUUAUUUCCUUGAGCGCAGUUUUGUUCGAUGUUUAUCCACAUUUCAAAUGUGGUUGUAAAUAUACUUAUAGGUAAAACAUGUAUCACUUAGUUGAUGGCGUGGUUUCAGCGUUGCUGGUUCGUUGCUCGUUAAUGCAAACUGUUGUGGUCAGGUGUUUCAGAUUGUUUUCAAAAAUGCGAGAUAAAGUGUUGCGUUUUCAUCGAGGGUGUUCAAAAUUAAUAUUCAUGUUCACAGAUUCAUAAAAUCUUAAUGAAAAAAUUUCUAGCACUGGCGGAGGAGAGCUUACCACACAAUCUGUUGUCAAAGCACCACCAGAGCCAAUGACUGGAAACGCUAUUCAAAACAAUAGCGUUCGUGAUGGAGAGUGACGAGUUGAGUUCGAGUUCGGAUGGAUGCCGCUGACUUCCGUGAUCUAUUUCCAAGCUGACCUGUUGUCCGUUGUGCGAUACUGAUAUGUGUUCUGUUGGAGUAUCCUGCUUCUUCCGCUUGAGGUAACAAGCUUUAUGUUUCGCCUGGAGAUGCCUCGAUCGAGCCAUAAUCAACACGUUGACAACGACAUCGAAAUGAAUGGCUUCUGAGUCGGUGCAAUGCAUUUUAUAUAAAAAAAAUCAGCAGAAAGUUCUACUACAAACUACAACUGAUUGAAAAAUGGGCCGUAUACAAUAUAGAGUUCACUACUUUUGUCAAAGAGGAGUUGGCCCCAACAAUUCUAUGACAUUUACCAUUUACAUGUACAUCUAAGAUCAUUAGAGGCAUAGCAUACGUAAAUAUUCCAAUAAAUUUUUCAAAUAACUUUCAUUCACUUUGCUAUUUCUAAGCAAUCCGAAAAUACAUCAUACUUAAUUCCUGAAUUUUUUGAAAAUGGAUAAUUUUCUACCCAUUUUCGGUUCGUUCGCUCAUAUAAAACUGGGUAAUUGACCACCCAAUUGACACAUAUAUGACACAUAUUUACUUUAUCCAACCUCGGCGAAUGACCGUAAGGUUAAAACCGA